GAGUUUGAUCCUGGCUCAGAUUGAACGCUGGCGGCAUGCUUUACACAUGCAAGUCGAACGGUAACAGGUCUUCGGAUGCUGACGAGUGGCGAACGGGUGAGUAAUACAUCGGAACGUGCCUAGUGGUGGGGGAUAACUACUCGAAAGAGUAGCUAAUACCGCAUGAGAUCUACGGAUGAAAGCAGGGGACCUUCGGGCCUUGUGCUACUAGAGCGGCUGAUGGCAGAUUAGGUAGUUGGUGGGGUAAAGGCUUACCAAGCCUGCGAUCUGUAGCUGGUCUGAGAGGACGACCAGCCACACUGGGACUGAGACACGGCCCAGACUCCUACGGGAGGCAGCAGUGGGGAAUCUUGGACAAUGGGCGAAAGCCUGAUCCAGCAAUGCCGCGUGCAGGAUGAAGGCCCUCGGGUUGUAAACUGCUUUUGUACGGAACGAAAAGCCUGGGGCUAAUAUCCCCGGGUCAUGACGGUACCGUAAGAAUAAGCACCGGCUAACUACGUGCCAGCAGCCGCGGUAAUAC
rnacentral:rRNA from 1 species